rnacentral:rRNA from 1 species
GCGAGCGUUAAUCGGAAUUACUGGGCGUAAAGGGCACGCAGGCGGUUAAUUAAGUUGGAUGUGAAAUCCCCGGGCUUAACCUGGGAAUGGCAUUCAAGACUGGUUAGCUAGAGUCUUGUAGAGGGGGGUAGAAUUCCAUGUGUAGCGGUGAAAUGCGUAGAGAUGUGGAGGAAUACCGGUGGCGAAGGCGGCCCCCUGGACAGAGACUGACGCUCAUGUGCGAAAGCGUGGGGAGCAAACAGGAUUAGAUACCCUGGUAGUCCACGCUGUAAACGAUGUCGAUUUGGAGGUUGUGGUCAUGAACUGUGGCCUCCGGAGCUAACGCGUUAAAUCGACCGCCUGGGGAGUACGGCCGCAAGGUUAAAACUCAAAUGAAUUGACGGGGGCCCGCACAAGCGGUGGAGCAUGUGGUUUAAUUCGAUGCAACGCGAAGAACCUUACCUACUCUUGACAUCCAGCGAAGCCUUUAGAGAUAGAGGCGUGCCUUCGGGAGCGCUGAGACAGGUGCUGCAUGGCUGUCGUCAGCUCGUGUUGUGAAAUGUUGGGUUAAGUCCCGCAACGAGCGCAACCCUUAUCCUUUGUUGCCA